CUUACAGCUCGCAAAGAUGUAUUCAGGAGCUUGAUGCCAGGAAAGCCAAUUGAUUUUCUUGUGCUAGACUUAGUAGCAGAUAUGAUGAAGACAAAGUUGACCAGAGAAAAGUGGUUAUUGGUUUUUACCUACAACUUUUGCGGUAAGCAUAUAUGAGUGUAUAUUAAAAUAAUAUUGGUAGUUGUUAUUUGUAUUGCGCAUAUAAACAAGUGGCCAAAAUAACGUAGAUGUCAGAGAAGAUAAAAUUGGAUCCCAACCAUCUGCCGUCUUGUAUCACAGAUGUUUAUUUGGGCAAAGUUGACUGCUUAAAAAGAGUGUUUAUCCCUGUACCUGAAACUAUUCACGAAGGUCAUGAACACUGGUAUCUCGUAGUGAUCGAUCGUGUUAAAAGACAAAUCAUUUUGCUAGACCUAUUUUCCAUUAAGAAACAAUUCAAGCGAAAGAGGAUAGCCUUGAAAUUAGUAAAUAUAUUUUCUUUUUUUUUUGUUAAUUAUAUAGAUAUAUGACUAAAAAAGCAAAUUCUGACAUAGACAUAAACAAACCAUUUAUUUAGACGAAGUAUUGGAAAAUCGUUUAUUCUAUAACUUUGAGACUACUCCAAAUCUAAUUUCUUCAUUAUUUGAAUUUGAAGAACCAAAAGGCCUUCCCACCCUCGAAGUUGUAUCAUAAUAUCAUAUAAUUAAUAGUUAUUGAUAUAAAAUUUAUGCAAUUAUAUAAUACUCUAAUAUAUCUUGCUCGAUAUGUAGGAAUGACACGGGUGUGUGGGUUGCAAGUUGGGUAAUAGCUUGUUUUGAAGAUGAUAACUUUAACAUAAAGAUAAUAUUAUAGACUUUUUUUUCGUUAUUCUUUCUUUUAUAUUUAGGUAGUUAAGCUUAAUGUGUAAAUGUUAAUAUUUUAUUAGGUAUAUUAUGGGAAUCGAACGAAGAUUGCAGUCUCAUUCGUGUCGAAGAAUUAUAAAAUGAUCGAGUAUUGGGCAAAAGAAAAGCCUUUGAAAAUUUUAGAAAGGUGUAUAAUAAUUACCAUCGUGAUGAUUAUGAAUUCCCACAAGAUGGUGAUUAUUAUAAUGGUGAUCACCAUCGUGAUUAUUAUGAAUUUUCACAAGAUUAGAUUUAUAGCAUUCAUACAGCUUUCUAAGAUUUUCAAAGGCAUUUCUUUUGACUCUAUACUCGAUCAUACUAUGAUUCUUCGACAUGAGUGAGACUGCAAUCUUCAUUUGAUUCCCAUCAUCAAACUAAUAAAAUAUUAAUAUCUACACAUUAGGCUUAACUACCUAAAUAUAAAAGAAAGAAUGACCGAAAAAAUUAGUGUAUAAUAUUAUCUUUAUGUUAAAAUGAUCAUCUUCAAAACAAGCUAUCAUCCAACUUGCAACCCACACACCCGCGUCAUUCCUACCUAUCGAGUAUAUAUUAGAGUACUAUAUAAUUUCAUAUCAAUAACUACUAAUUAUAUGAUGUUACGAUACAAUUUCGAGGGUGGGAAGGCCCUUUGGUUCUUCAAAUUCAAAUUGUAAAGAAAUCAGAUUUAGAGUGGUCUUAAAGUCAUAGAAUGAACGAUCUUCCAAUACUUCAUCUAAAUAAAUGGCCUGUUUUUGUCUAUGUUGCUUUUUUAGUCAUAUAUCUAGAUAAUUAACAACAAAAAAGAGAAUAUAUUACUAAUUUCAAGGGUGUCUUCUUUCGCUUGAACUGUUUCUCAAUGAAAAAUGGGUCUAGGAAAAUGAUUUAUCUUUUAACACGAUCGAUCACUACGAGGUACCAGUGUUCAUGACCUUCGUGAAUAGUUUCAGGUACAGGAUACACACCAAAUCAAGAGAAAGUAAUUUUAGUUAUUAAAUUUAUUUUAUACCAAUAUUUGCUAAUUUGAAUUUAAAAAUGAUAUCAAUUUACUCUUUUUAAGCAGUCAACUUUGUCCUAAUAAACAUCUGUGAUACAAGAUGGCAGAUGACUGGGAUCCAAUUUUGUCUUCUCUGAUAUCUACGUUAUUUUUGCCACUUGUUUAUAUGUGCAAUAUAAAUAACAACUACGAAUAUUAUUUUAAUAUACACUCCUAUAUACUUAUCGCAAAAGUUGUACGUAAAAACCAAUAACCACUUUCUCUGGUCAACUCUGUUUUCAUCAUAGCUGCUACUAAGCCUAGCACAAGAGAAUCAAUUGGCUUUCCUUGCAUCAAGCUCCUGAAUACAUCUCUGCGAGCUGUAAGUCCAGAAAAUACUAUAUCCUCCUCAAAGCUGCCAAAGAUAAAUUAACAUAAAUAAAAAUAGCUAAACAAAUCCACAAUACCGUUUAAAAAUAAUAUUCUUAUUGAGUUUACUUACUUAUCCAUCAAUAGAUUACCAUACAAGUAUGCUGCAAUUGCAAGUUUA